ACUCCUACGGGAGGCAGCAGUGGGGAAUUUUGGACAAUGGGCGCAAGCCUGAUCCAGCCAUGCCGCGUGCGGGAAGAAGGCCUUCGGGUUGUAAACCGCUUUUGUCAGGGAAGAAAAGGUUCUGGCUAAUACCUGGGACUCAUGACGGUACCUGAAGAAUAAGCACCGGCUAACUACGUGCCAGCAGCCGCGGUAAUACGUAGGGUGCAAGCGUUAAUCGGAAUUACUGGGCGUAAAGCGUGCGCAGGCGGUUAUGCAAGACAGAGGUGAAAUCCCCGGGCUCAACCUGGGAACUGCCUUUGUGACUGCAUGGCUAGAGUACGGUAGAGGGGGAUGGAAUUCCGCGUGUAGCAGUGAAAUGCGUAGAUAUGCGGAGGAACACCGAUGGCGAAGGCAAUCCCCUGGACCUGUACUGACGCUCAUGCACGAAAGCGUGGGGAGCAAACAGGAUUAGAACCCCGGUAGUCCCAUGA
rnacentral:rRNA from 1 species